rnacentral:rRNA from 1 species
UACGUAGGGGGCAAGCGUUAUCCGGAUUUACUGGGUGUAAAGGGAGCGCAGACGGCAGUGCAAGUCUGGAGUGAAAGCCCGGGGCCCAACCCCGGGACUGCUCUGGAAACUGUACGGCUAGAGUACGGGAGGGGCAGGCGGAAUUCCUAGUGUAGCGGUGAAAUGCGUAGAUAUUAGGAGGAACACCGGCGGCGAAGGCGGCCUGCUGGACCGAAGCUGACGUUGAGGCUCGAAAGCGUGGGGAGCAAACAGG